GUGAAAUGUACAUUUAACAUUUUCGAUUAGAGUAGUCACAUUUUAUUUUUGUUAGAAAAAUAAAUUAAAUUAAAUAUGAAUUUUAUAAAUUUCUGGGGUGUGAUGGUACUGGGUUUACUGGUUCUUGGUCAAAUGACAAUUGGAAGCGAGCUCGAUAAAAAGUGUAAAGUCAUCAUAUGCAGCCUCCGAUGUAUUAAUGGCUUACAGAAAGAUAUCAACGGAUGCCAAUUGUGCAAGUGCGUUCCGCCAUCAUCAAAUACAACUCCCAAAAUGUGUCCAGAAUUACCUUGUUUUAAGUACAUUAAAUGUGCCCAUGGUCAAGUAUUGGAUGCCAAUGGAUGUCGCACCUGUGCUUGCAAACCUUAAACCAAAUUAUACCAACUCAAAAAAUUCUUGAAAGGCUCUAAUUAAAUAUAGAAACACAAAAUUUUAGAUAUUAUCUUUUUAAUUCAAAUUUUUUUUUGAAAUUUAUUAUAACUUUUGUAUUUAUUUAUAAAAAAAAUUAUAUUUAUAAAUUAUUCCAAAUUAUAAUGAUUUUUGAAUUCCAUUACUUAAUAUAUGACAGAGAUGAGGGGAGAAAAAUACCCACCAAAUAAAUUGUAAUAGUAAUAAAACAA